AGUGAGGCGGCAUAAACAUAAAGAUCUGAGAUUUUUAUGUGUUAAAAUAUAUAUUAAAUUAUUAUUAUUAAAAGUAAAGUAAAUAAAAAGGAAAUAAAGGAAAGAAACAAAAGAAUAAAAAGAAGGAAGGAAACAGAAUAGCAGGAAACGAAACAAAGAAGAAACAGUGGAGAAAGAAAGAAAGAAAAGAAAAAGGGAAAAUAGGGUUUUUGAAGCUUGGAGUUUAAUUGUUAACAAAGUACCCAAGACAUCGGCGCACAAAGGAAAGGAGAAAGCUAUCGAGGAUUAAAACGAGAAAUUCACGGUUAAUAGAAGUCUAGUGUCCUGGUCCAGCAUCCGAGUGAUCCCGACUUCAGCGAAAAGAUUUUGGGUGAUGUUUUCUUUCUUAAUU